AUUCUACACUGUCAUAUUCUGAAACUAAAAAAUUUAGCUCUAGGAGCCGUAGUUUAUUUGUAUCGCCGUAGUUUGUGAGCGGUGGAUACCCAGAAUAGUGUAGAAUAAUGUUACGCUCAUGCUGGGAUGCCGAGAUUAUUUUUACAGUAGUGUUCAGACUGUUCCAGACUGUCGGGUGCUGUUGUGGUUAAUGGUGGACCCGGUUUGCUGUUUUAGCUCUGGAUUGCGUCGAGGGCAUAUGAUUUAU
rnacentral:lncRNA from 1 species